rnacentral:rRNA from 1 species
AUGGAGUAUUGCGAUGUUUUUGUCAAACACAUGCUGUCUCCAUCCUUGAAACGUCUGCGCAUCGCCAGCUACGAUAGUACAGAGUAUACUCGCAUUCUUAUUUCUCUACCAAGUCUCGUUUCACUCGAGUUGAUUGAAUGGCAACGAGGAAGGGCCCCAUUGCUUGGAAGCUUGCCGUGGUUAGCAAGAGCCGUUGUUAAACUUGGCGAUGAUGCUGCUGAUCGAUGCUCUAAAGGUCAAUUCGAUGAUUGUGGUGUUUAUAUCUACCAUGGUUGUCGUUAUUAUUAUUAUCAUCAUCAUGGGGAUCCUGAAUAUGGGCCUGGUUAUGACCGCAACGACAGCAUCUUUCUCAAAGGUUUGUCAGAAGCCAUGGACUUGGAGUUGUCAGCUGAAUCUGACGUGCACUCACCAGUGUUGGAGAAGCUUACUCUUCAACUUUCUAAGGCACGUCCAAAUGUGAUGAAUAUGAAAGGAAUAUACAAACCAUUGGGACAGUCAGUUGCAUCCAACUGUCUUAAACUUGUUCAAAUCAAAUGUGCAAAAAUCAAUAGCUGUGUUUAUGGAAUUUUGAAGACACUGACUACCUAUGGAGUAAGCCUUGAGAAAAUUAAUAUCACUAGCAGAAUUUCUGGAUCUGGAUGUUUCAGUUUUGUUUGCACCGGUUUGAAAUUAGAGGCAAAAGCACAACCACAAACUGACCAAACGCAUGUAGCAACCAGCAGAGUCGACAAAUCAUGCACAGCUAUUUGUCUUCUGAUGGAUCUCUCGCAUGAUUUCUAUAUAUGUUUGUCUAGGUAUGACAUCAUGCUGGGGGCCUACGACAAGAGGUCAACCACGUUAAGGCGUACUCUGCCGCUCAUCAUCGCUCCCAAGCCCUCGUCGUCCCCGUGGCUGCUCGCUAUCGUUCCAAAGCCCUAUCCCUCUGUGGUUAUGAUGCAUCAGCCUCAACGAAGGUUCGGUGGCAUCAACUUUGUUGCUAAGAACCACAUGGCUAAGAGCAACUCCACCCCGAAUCACCAAAUCACCCCUAAAUGUCGGAUCGGACAGUUCAGUCAUUUUUGA